rnacentral:rRNA from 1 species
AUUGAACGCUGGCGGCAUGCUUUACACAUGCAAGUCGAACGGCAGCGCGGGCUUCGGCCUGGCGGCGAGUGGCGAACGGGUGAGUAAUGCAUCGGAACGUGCCCAGUAGUGGGGGAUAGCCCGGCGAAAGCCGGAUUAAUACCGCAUACGACCUGAGGGUGAAAGCGGGGGACCGAAAGGCCUCGCGCCAUUGGAGCGGCCGAUGUCGGAUUAGCUAGUUGGUGGGGUAAAGGCUUACCAAGGCGACGAUCCGUAGCUGGUCUGAGAGGACGACCAGCCACACUGGAACUGAGACACGGCCCAGACUCCUACGGGAGGCAGCAGUGGGGAAUUUUGGACAAUGGGGGCAACCCUGAUCCAGCCAUGCCGCGUGCGGGAAGAAGGCCUUCGGGUUGUAAAGCGCUUUUGUUCGGGAAGAAAUCCUCUGGGCUAAUACCCCGGGGGGAUGACGGUACCGGAAGAAUAAGCACCGGCUAACUACGUG